UGGGCUUGGGACAACGGGAAAUAAUCCAAACUAUGGAACAACUAGAAAUCCAUAUUCAACUGAAAGGUACACUGGAGGAUCUUCCUCUGGUCCUGCAGCACUUGUGGCAUCUGGAUUAUGUUCAGCUGCAAUAGGAACAGAUGGUGGAGGCUCGGUUAGAAUUCCGUCUUCACUUUGCGGUAUUGUGGGCAUGAAGACGACAUAUGGACGGACUGACAUAAAAGGGGCGUUGUGUGAUUCUG
rnacentral:misc_RNA from 1 species